CAUCAGCAAGCUGUCCUUCCUGUUUUAUCACAAGAUUCCUGUAGCAGAUUGAGCUCUGGCAGUUGAUCUCAGUGGCUUGAUAGAGUGUCAUUAUAAAAACGCACCUGGAAGAUUCUGUGGAAAAGACAACCUCAGAAGACCAAGGUGAAUCCAAGGCCUGAUCUGGACUCUUAAUGGGUGGUUAAAUUCUAGUUCCUUUAAAUAAGCAUCAAAGACGCCACAAAACCACAGAUAAAGCUGCCAUAGACAGCUAUAUUUGGGACUCAUUUAUCAUUUGUCACAAGCAUUUCAUCCUCUUGCAAUAUUUUUUUCUACUUAGUACUUCUACAAGAAGAGGCUGACUUUGCAAGAGAGAGUCCGUUUACCACUUAGAACCGUGAACACCACCCCCGCCCUCAUUUAUCUCCAGACUUGAACUAGUGGUUAAAUCCCAACAUGUCCCAGAGAAGUCAAAAGCAUUGUAAAAUCUGGGAAUCUGCCCACCACUCAAGCCUGGGAAAGCUGGCAGAGGAUGCACGUGUUUUACUCACCUGAGUGUUUACAAUGCUCGUGAGGUGCCUCCCUGAUAUUUUUAUAGCAGAAUGGAGAAACACAACCAAGGAGAUACACCUAAGUAACAACAGCAAUGAUGUCAAAAAGAGUGCCUGAAUACUUAGGGUGGAGGUCCUGGACAUGCAAACCCAAGCUUCCUCUUUGCUGUGGCCAGGAAUCUGCAGUGAUUGAGAGCACAGACUGUAUCUAAAAUUCCACCUUUCAAAGUUCAGCAUAUUACUUUUUUUUUUCUUACACCUAUAAGUACAGAGGAAUGAAGAAGGAAUAAACAGACCUUCUGGAUAAUUGCAUCAGCCUUCCCCACUAUUCCAAUGCCAUGCUAACAUUUCAAGUAAUGUCCCUUUUGUCUUGCUGAGAAAAAAUCAUUUCAUGAUUUAUUACACUGGAUUAAAGGCUAUGCACACUCUGGAGUUGGAACAUGACUGAAGGGCAAGCAAGCAUAAAGGAUAUCAGAAACAGUUGAUGUGUUUAAAUUUUUCUGAAUUUCUCAAGUAAACUUUUUAGAAAGUAGUCUGAAGAUAAAAUGGUUAUAUAAGUUACUUAAACUGUAGAUGAUGGCACCUUUAUCCCUAUAUAAUAAAAUUAAGAUUUGUAGGUUAAACCUUGGAUAUUCCCAUCUGAGCAUCUGUACCAAACAGAAAAGACCUGUGUGAGUUCCUGAGAACCAGUGCUCAUUCCAGAAGAGACAGGUUUCUCUCCAGGAAGAAAUGUCUGAAAUUCAGUGAAUUAAAAUCCUCAUUGAGUCUUCCUACUCUUUACUUCUCCCUGGAAAAACUGGUUACGAAAAUUUAAUAUUCUGUCAUGAUAAGAUCAAGCUCUAUCAGAUCAGCCAUACAUAUCAAGUACAUUUUGACAAACUUGAUUCAUACUGUUUUCAAAUUAUGAACAACCAAGGCUCUUCUAUCCAAAAAUAUUGAUUAUUUAAUUCUGAAUAUCAUUACAGAGCAGUAAUAUGCUCUCAGCAUUUGGGGAUACAAGAGUCAGAAGAUGGACAAGCUUCCUUCCUAACAACAAUUACCACUUAAUUACAAUAUACCAAGUAGUAUUUUAUCUGCUAGGUAUAUUGGACUUACUUUUCACAGAUAGUUUAUACUAACAAAAUUUCUAACCAAAAUAUUUCUUGAAAAUUACUGAUUUUAUUUGAAAUUAUGUGCAGGAAAAAUACAAGCAUAUCUCUGAAUUUCUAUUUGUCUGUUAAACAAAAGGGGAUAAAUAUGACUAAUGUCAUUUAACAAGAGGAAUUACAGACUAUGAAAAGAGUAGCUUAUUUAUAUCAACUCACAAUACUUUCCAGAGAGAGAAAGAAAAAGGCUAUUAUGUGGCCUGAACAAGAAGUUGGCCAUCCUUUUCCCUUUCUUUGUGGAAGAUGGUCCUGAUAGGAUAGAGACUUAAAGAAGGGAUUGAUUUGUUUUCUCCAGCUGUCCUAAUAGUGAGUGAAUAAAAUUAACUGUGAACUAUUUCAAUCAAUAACUCAAUGAUUGACUUACAUUGAUUAGAAAAGAGCUGAUUCUUUGCCAUGGAUAUCUAGAUACCUUGAUGAUCCUAUUUUGAACCAAUUUAAAAGUAGGACAAUACCCACUGGAUGGAAGUUUCAAAACCUGAAAACAAUAAAACCCACAAGAUUUUAUUUCUUUUAAUAACUUCUGUGACAAUGAAAUUGAAGUCUUACACACUUUUUUUUUUUUUUACUCCAGUGUCUUGUUAUCUGGAGCAAAAUUCAGAAAGGAGAGCAACUAUGUAAAAAAGUAAGAAUUUUGGCUUGCUAUGCCAUUCUUAGAGGUUUCUUUUAUCUUUAUAUUUUCUUGAAAUGUCUUGUGUAAAAUUUAAACAACUUCCUGUACUAUAAAUAAGAUAUUUUGAAGGCAAGCAUAUGCAUAGAUAAUACUUUAGAAAAGAAUUGUGAUUCCAAUUCUGUACUUAGCACUUAAUAUUAAAAGUUUCUUAUAGUGAAUAUAAUUUUCUACAACAGAUAGUACAAUUUUGUUUCACCAUUAACAGGUAAAUAAGUAAAUAUACAUUUAAAUAAAUAUUAUAAAGUUCAUUUGUUAAUUAAUACAAACAUUAUAAAUUAUUGAAUACUUUUUCCAAUGGACAAGCAGCUUUAAAAACCUGCUUUCACCACUUUAUUUAUUUAUUUUUUUUUGAGACAGAGUCUCGCUCUGUCGCCUAGGCUAGAGUGAUCUCGGCUCACUGCCAGCUCUGCCUCCCGGGUGCACGCCAUUCUCCUGCCUCAGCCUCCCAAGUAGCUGGGACUACAGGCACCCGCCACCACACCCGGCUAAUUUUUUGUAUUUUUUUAGUAGAGACAGGAUUUCACCGUGUUAGCCAGGAUGGUCUUGAUCUCCUGACCUCGUGAUCUGCCCACCUCAGCCUCCCAAAGUGCUGGGAUUACAGGCAUGAGCCACCGUGCCCGGCCUUUUUUUGGUAUUUUUAGUAGACAUGGGGUUUCACCCUGUUAGCCAGGAUGGUCUCGAUCUCCUGACCUCGUUAUCCACCCGCCGCGGCCUCCCAAAGUGCUGGGAUUACAGGCAUGAGCCACCGUGCCAGGCCACUUUCACCACUCUUAAUCCUCUGAGGUGAAGAGGUCUUUUAAACUAUAGUUUGUAUAACUGAAAAUCAAAAGAAAAAAGUUUUAAUGAAGUUUUUGUAAUUAGUAAGAAACAUAAGGGAAUACCAAAAGCAAACUUUUUUGAAUGCUUACUUUUGGGGAAGCAUUGAAUUUUAUAUCUGGUAUAUGAUAAUUCAUAUCUUAGGAUAUGCUCCCCUUUCUAUAAGUAGGAAUUAGGAAACACGGAGAGGUGAAUUUUUUGCUCAUGAAUGAAUUUACCCAUUAGGCAUUUUUGAGAGGUAUCAGUAGUCAGCAGUUAUCACUUUCUUCUACUCUUCAUAUUGCUAGAGACAUAGUGACUCCAUGUCUUAUAGAAUGUUCAUUUUCUCUUUCACUUAUCCCAUAUCAUGUGCCAGCUAUUGAUCCAAUCAAUUUUAACAAUGAAAGUUCUAAACCAGGAACCAUUUACACUGGAUCUUACAUUUGCCCUGGGUAAGAUGGCAGUUGAUGGCAGUGUCCACGUGCAUCAGGAAGAAGUCUUCAUUAGCUUCAUGAUUUAAGUCCUUAAAUGUAAUUUUAUCACAGAAAACAUAACCUAUAUUCAAGCCUUAACCUUAACUUAGUCCUCAUAUUCAUUGUUACCCUUACCAAGUUUUUCUUAAUUGUAUGCCUAGCAUGCAAAUGAUACGGACAGGAGACAGGGAAAUACAGGGUAGAAAAGGGCAGUUCCCCAGCAAAGGCCCCACCCUCAAGCCUGAAAAACCAUGGCCCUAAAUGAGGACAGGCAUUCCUGUUGUCACACCCAAAAAGUUGCCUUUUGGCCUGCCAUGCCCCAUAUCCUGUACCCAUAUAAAUCCCGAACCCCACGCUCCAGAAGCAGAUGAGCAGGUGAGGAAAUGAGGAGUCAAACAGAUGGAUAGUAGAACGACACAGCAAAGAAAGAAGAGGAAUGUCUGAAUACCAAGAGGAGUUCAGCUGGGGGCAGUUAGGGAGAGGUUUGGAGACUGGCCAGUUUCCAGGGGAAGAUCACCUUCCUAUUCUAUCCCCUCCUUCUGCCUCCUCAUCCAGCGCACUGAGAGCCACCUCCACCACUCAAUAAAAACCUUGCAUUCAUCCUUUAAGCCCGUGUGUGACCUGAUUCUUCCAGGACGGUGGGUAAGAGCUCAGGAUACUGAAAGCUGUCACACUGGCUCUCUGCGCUUGCGAAAAGGCAGAGGGUCCAUUGAGCUGGUUAACACUUAAAAUCAUCUGCAGACAGCAAGGCUAAGAGAGCAUCAGUUAACACUGUGGCUGCAGGCACCCACCCCAAGACACUGCCGUGUGACCAGAGAACACAGUGCUUGCUCCAGCCUCUGCACCCACCUGUCUGCAUGAUCCCUCUCCCUCAAGGGUUUUGAGCAGCAGUGGUGACCAAAUAGCCAAGCCACUCCCCUGUUGCAAGUCCUGAGAGGGGGAUCAGGGAACUCUCCCAUUUCACUUAGGCAGGGAAGGGGUAAGACUAUGGGAUGGACUAAGAAUGUAGAUUUUACAUAUCACUUGGUAAUUUGUUACAAAUUAUUUGGUAAUUUUUUUUUCUUUUUGAGACAGAGUCUUGCUCUGUUGCCCAGAGCCGGAGUGAAUGGCCAGUCUUGGCUCACUGCAACCUCCACCUCCUGGGUUCAAGCAGUUCUCCUGCCUCAGCCUCCCGAGUAGCUGGGAUUACAGGUGUGCGCCACCAAGCCCUGGCUAAUUUUUGUAUUUUUAGUAGAGAUGGGGUUUCACCAUGUUGGCCAGGCUGGUCUAGAACUCCUGACCUCAUAAUCCACCCACCUCAGCCUCCCAAAAUGCUGAGAUUACAGGCAUAAGCCACCGUGCCCAGCCUACUUGGUAAUUUUUAAAAGCUACAGGUUUAAUAGUUAAUUUCUCAAGCAAAUAAAAGAUGUUCCCAACUCCAAACUGCUUUAUUAAAUAAUUUAACCUAAUUAAAUAGAAUCCUGAUCAUGGACCAUAUAGUUUAUUAUCCAAACUGGAGCCACAGGCAGUAGACAGGAUUGAACCAGACAAUCCUGCAAGAUCACCCACCCUCCUUCAAAGAGAUAUUGUCUGUGAGUGGACAUUAUCCUCACAGCCUUAUACCUCUUUUUUCCAAUGGACAAUUGCAUAUGAAAUGACAGCAGAAAAAUUAAAAAACAGGGCAUCCCCAAGGGCAAAAUAAUGUAGGCCCAACUCAACACAUCAAAGAUGAAAAACUGCAGAAUAUAGCACUCCUCCAACCUGAGCUGUAAAAAGUUAUAUUCUUCAAAUAAUUUUCACUACCACUCUAUAUAACCAUGUUAAAUACAUUAGCACAACAUACUGAUGAAAAUAAAUGUCUUCCAAGAUUUGCACAUAAAUGCAAAGAGGAUCGUAAUCAUUACUUUUAAGAGAUUUGGGGUCAGUUGGUGUGUGUAUAGGGGAGUGUGUUUUAUUGUGAUAUAAUUCAAAAACCAUACAACUGAACAGUUUAAUAUAUUAGCAGAGUUCUGCAACCAUCACCACUAUCUAAUUAUAGAAGAAUUUCAACACCUCAAACACAAACUCCAUACCAUUUAACAAUCACUCUUAAUUCUUCAUUCUCCCCACUCCCAGGCAAACACAAAUCUACUUUCUGUCUCUGUGGUUUUGCCUGUUCCGGACAUUUCAUAUAAAUGAAAUCAUACAAUGCCUUUUCUGGCUGAAUUCUUUUUACAAUAUAAUAAUUUCAAGGUUCAUUCAUGUUGUAACACGUAUCAGUACAUCAUUCCUUUUUAUUUCUGAAUGAUAUUGAAUUAUAUGGACAUACUACAUUUUGUUAUCCACUCAUCAGUUGCUGGACAUCUGUAUUAUUUCCAUUUCUGAGGUAUUAUGUGUAACACUGCUAUGGACAUUUAUGUGGAAUUUUUUGUGGACAUAUGUUUUCACUUCUCUUGGAUAUAUACCCAGGAGUGUAAAUUGCUGGUCAUAUUGUCUCUGUUUUAUAAUACAUUUUGAGGAACUGCCAAACUGCUUUCCAAUGUGACUUCACCACUUUAAAAUCCCACAGCAAUAUAUGAUAAUUACAAUUUCUCCAUAUCCUCACCAACAUUUGUUAUCAUCUGUUUUUUUUAUCUGAGCCGUCCUAGUGAGUAUAAAGUGGUAUCUCAUUAUAGUUUUGAUUAGCAUUUCCCUUCUGGCUAAUGAUGCUGAGUAUCUUUUCAUGUGUUUCUUAGCCAUUUGCAUAUUUUUCCUUGAAAACAGUCUAUUAAGAUAUUUUUCCUUAUUUUUGAAUGGGUUAUUUGUUUUUUCACUACUGAAUUGUAAGAGUAGUUUCUUUAUGCUAAAUACAAGAGCUGUAUCAGUUAUAUGUUUUGCAAUUGUUUUCCCUUUUACUGGAUUGUUAUAAUAAAGAGUCUGACUCCAUUAUUGAUGUGUGACUCUUGGCAGCUUUUAAAACCCCAUCCUAAUGUCUUCCCCUUCUGUCCCGCACUGGACCAUGAUGAUAAGAAAGUCUGGGUUUUCCCACCUUUGGCACUGAAGGGAAGUUCAAACCACACAGGGGGACCCUCAGCCCAGCCUCAUCUUAUAACCCCCAUAAAACCCCCA
rnacentral:lncRNA from 10 species